GUCACGGUGAUCGAAAUAGUAAAAUGGUUUCCAGAUGAUAACUCAAAAACGCUUAGGCCUAGGAUCAUGAAACUUGAUAGGUAGAUUGAUCAGGACUCGCAGAUGACCCCUAUUGAUUUUCAGGUCACUAGGUCAAAGGUCAAGGUCACAGUGACCCGAAAUAGUAAAAUGGUUUCCGGAUGAUAACUCAAGAACGCUUAGGCCUAGGAUCAUGAAAAUUGAUAGGUAGAUUGAUCAGGACUCGCAGAUGACCCCUAUUGAUUUUGAGGUCACUAGGUCAAAGGUCAAGGUCACAGUGACCCGAAAUAGUAAAAUGGUUUCCGGAUGAUAACUCAAGAACGCUUAGGCCUAGGAUCAUGAAACUUGAUAGGUAGAUUGAUCAUGACUCGCAGAUGACCCCUAUUGAUUUUCAGGUCACUAGGUCAAAGGUCAAGGUCACGGUGACCCGAAAUAGUAAAACGGUGUCCGGAUGAUAACUCAAGAAUGCUUAUGGCUAGGAUCAUGAAACUUCAUAGGUACAUUGAUCAUGACUGGCAGAUGACCCCUAUUGAUUUUCAGGUCACUAGGUCAAAGGUCAAGGUGACAGUGACAAAAAACAUAUUCACACAAUGGCUCUCACUACAACGGAGAGCCCAUAUGGGGGGCAUGAAUGUUUUACAAACAGCCCUUGUUUAUUAUUUCGGUUUGGGAUCGGAUCCGUUUUAUGACCUUUUUUACGUAGCAGAAUAAAGCCUGCUCUUCUUCUGGAGCAUCAACACACUGGCUAUUCACUGAGUAUUGCGUUUUGUGUAGAACCAGUACUUGUUGUCGUUAGGUGAGAUUAAAAGAACUCUGCCACAGUGGGGAUUAAACCUGUCAGUGUGAUUUUGUAAUAAUGAGUAAAAAAGAAAACCAUAAUAACAACACAUUAUCAUUAGUUAUUUUUAAUGUGAAUAUUGUUUUCAGAUCAGCUGUUGUCAUAUUUAAUACAUAUCUAUUGAAAUGAUAUGUUAAAUCUUAGUAUUUCUACAAAUUAUUUGUUCUUUAUUGACUUACAAUGAUUACUGAUAUGCAAACCAAAAAAACAUAUCUUCACAAUUCUGUACAUCUGAAACAUUUUUAAUGUUGAAUACGAUAUAUAUCAUGGCAAUGUCAUUACAAAUUAGUGUCUUGUUUACUUGUCUUCUAUUUGACAUAUGACAUAAUUUAGUGGCCACAUAUUUUGCCUCAUCAAAUGCUUGACUCAGUCUCUGCAUCAUGAAGACAAAUGAAACAAGAAACCGUCGGAGACGGGCUAUGCUCCCCAAAGGUUUUUUUUGUCACAAUAUUGCACUAUAUAUUCAGAUAAAAGGAAACUUCUUGAGGGCACAGUAGUUGGGGGGACAAUAAUUUUUUUAUAGAAAAUUUCAAAGGGCCAUAACUCUGUGAAAAAUCAUCCAUCCAGAACCUGCUGAUAAUAUGCACAUCUCCUCUUGGUAGUGAAGCUUCCCAUAAACUUUCAUUGAAUUCCGGUCAUUAGUUGCUGGGAAAUAGCGCGGACAAAAAUUGUGCACGGACGGACAGAGGAAGCGGCGACUAUAUGCUCCCCCCAAAAUAAAUUUUGGGGGAGCAUAAAAACACUCACCUAGAUUCUGUAGCUAUCUCAUUUCAUUAAACUGUGUUGUAGCAAUAGCAUAUAGAUUAUGUGGAAAUUCCUUCCGCUCUUGGUCCUCUACUAGUCAUAAAAAUUAUCAAGUUUACAAAGUAAUAAGUUUGUUUAGCAUAUUGUAUCAUAGUUGUUACAGUCGAAUAAUCCAUAUUAUUAGAACAUUUUAUCGAUGCACAAUAAAACAUGAACCUAACGGAAAUCACGAAGGGUCUUCAGAUUGUUCUAUAUUUGAGCCUUGUUCUGUGAACACUGGGCUUAAUGCAUGUGCGUAAAGUGUCAUCCCAGAUUAGCCUGUGCAGUCCACACAGGCUAAUCAGGAUCAGGGACGACACUUUCCGCUUUUAUGGUAUUUUUAGUUUCAAGGAAGUCCCUCCUUACCGAAAAUCGAGUUUAGGCGGAAAGUGUCGUCCCUGAUUAGCCUGUGCGGACUCCACAGGCUAAUCUGGGACGACACUUUACGCACAUGCAUUAAGUCGUUUUCUCAGAACGCUACUCAUAUUUAUUUUCAG